rnacentral:lncRNA from 1 species
UUUAACCUUUUUAUUUUCCCCACUAAGUUAUUUCCUCGUGGAUGAUUAUUGUUUCAGUUUCCUCCCUAGCUAAUUAUCUGGAUGGAACCACUCCCCUUGAGUUAUAUUCUCAUUUGGGUUGAGUCCUUGUUUGACGGAUUCUUUCUAGCAUUUACCUAGAUAGAUAGUUUUGGGUCUCUUGAGAAUAUACUACCCAGUAACUGGUAAUAUUCUUCUCGAUUUUUUAGUACAUCACUUUUUCCCA